CUCAAGCUAGUUUAUACUCAGCCUCCAGCAAAUAGUGAGUUACCACUUAAGUGUUCCUACAGUUAUUUCCUCUAGUAGCGCUCCUCCUAGUAAGCUGUGAUUUUGUGUCUCCAGUUUUCAGUGCAACUAUUUGCCCUGAGACCUCAGUUCUCUGGUGUAUCUAAGAAUUGUCCAUGUUCAAGUUUUCCACUAUUUUUCAUGUUGGGAGAGUGGGACUUCCGAGCUCUUUACAUGUUGCAACAGAAACCAGCAGUAUUAUCUCUUCAGUUAUUCUUUCUCUCUUCUUUUAGGACCCCAGUUAUGUGUAACUUCAUGCACUUGGGGAUGUCCCAGAGGUGCCAGAGAUUCUUUUCAUUUUUUUUUCAUAAUUUAUUCUUUUCCUCAGACCACAUAAUCUCAAUGUAUCUUUGAAUUUGCUGGGUCUUUUUUCUGCUCAUUUUUGUCAGCUGUGGACUCCUUACAUGAAUAUUUCCUUUCAGUUAUCAUACCUUUCAAUUCCAGAGUUUUAAUUUUGUUCCUUUUUGUGAUGUCUGUCUCUUUCUUGACAUUUUUUAUUUUGUGAGAGUUAAAGAAUUAAAGGAAAGUAUGAGCAUGAUGGUUUCCUUUAAAGUUUACGUCUUAAGUUCAACAUCUAGGCUUCAUCAGGGACAGCUUCUAUUGACUCCUUUUCCUGUGUAUGGUCUGUACAUUCCUAUAUCUUUGCAUGCUUCAUAUUUUGGUUAAACACUAUAAAUUUUAAAUUAUUUAAUGUGUAAACUUUGGAAGUUCAAAUUUGUUAUCCCCCCAGAGUAUCAUCCUGUUGAUAAGGCUGCUGUUACUUCGUAUAGUGACUUCUCUGGACUAAUCUCAUAAAGUUUAUUUUCUUCAUUGUGUGGGGACACUGAAAUCUCUGUUGGGUUUGAUUAGUGGUCAGUUGAUGAUUGGACACAAAUCCCUUUUACUAAGUCUCCCAUCCUUCUGUGAGGGGCUCUGUAUAUGUGUUGUGUAUGGCUCUUUCCUCGGCUUGUAUAUGGCCCGGUACAUGUGUGUGGAGUUCCAGAUACCCACUGUGGACAUCUCAUUUCACAGGUCUCCCAUUUAAAUUUUUGGCUGGACUCUUGGCUGCCCAACUGGUAUGGCCGACUUAAUAGCUGUGGUGUUAAUCAAUUGCAGCUGAUUGUUUUUGACAAAUGCCCUAGGGUAGAGGGCUUCUCCUGCUUGGUGAGCUCUGCAUGACAUCAAGUAAUGAUAAUGCCUUGUGAAUGGGGCUUCCCUGAGAGCUGUGAAGCAGGUCAGACAGUGACAGUGCUCCAGAGAGGGCGCUUUUGGGGAAGUCUGAACUGGGUCUGCUCCCUCUGGUGGCUACAGGACUACACAUUUUCACAUUGUUAGGGAGGCUGCUGGUUCUUAGCCUACUGUGAAUGGAGCUUAGGAGAGAGGGAUGGAGUAGACCAAGUUAAAAUGCCAUGAACCAAGCCUUUCUAGCCAAGAUUCAGCAGCUUUCCUAAGAUAAUGCUUUAGAUUGUUGUACAGCUUUGGUUAAUUUUCAGAAUUUUCAAAAAAGUUGAUUUUGAAAAUUGUGGCAGCAUUUUCAUUGUUUUUAUGCAUGGGAGCGUUUCCACAGAUCUUCACUCCACCAUUCUGAGAGUGCCCCCAACUUCGAAUGGAUGAAUUUUUAUAACAAGUGAAAAAGUAAGUCCCUGAAGGUUACAUACAGCCUUUACCCAUUUUAUCAACUUAGAAACAAUGAAAAGAACGUAUGUACUUAUAAAUACAUAAAAAUAUACACAGUAUUUGUAUUACACAAAAAUAGAUAAACAUAAAACUAUAAAAAGUAAAGUACAGGAUUCUGGAUAGUGGUUACCUCAGAUGGUGGCAGACCAAAGGAUGGGAGUGGGGGUUACCUAGAAAUAUAUGUGUCAUAAUUAAGGUCCAGUUUUAUUUUGUAGUUGGUGGGUUCAUGGAUUCUUAUGGCGUAAUUAAAAAUAUAUACACAGGCAAAAACAUUUUAUGGUUGUGUUUGCCUUCAUGUUAACACAUGAGAUGAGGAAUCUAUUAUGCAACAGAGCUUUAUAAAGGAGCUUCAACCUCAGUUUUCAAAGCCAUUCUUACGGCCAGAGGAAUUGCUUAUGGAGCUUAUCUCUACCCAGUCUCGUGUAGGUCUGCCUCAGCUGGCCGAACUCCAGUGUCAGGACAGGACAGUGAUGAUGAGAAGGGAAGGGACAGCAGCCAGUGCCAGUUCGAGAUGAGUAGUCAUCUAAUACUGCCUCUGCGUGGGUCCCUGCUGCCAUCCGCAGCCUCAUAGCCCUCAGCUCCGUAAUGUGUCCUGAUGGAUUUAGAAGAUACAUAGGGAGCUGUCAUUGUGAGUCUGAAAAAUAUACAGAUCACGCUUCACUUACUAAAAUCCAUACUUGAUGAUGUCAGCCACUUACACGAGCAUUCAAGAGGUCUUCUAGAAUAAUCACAUGACAAGAUUUGGGGGAAUACACAGAAUUCCAAUCAAGAUGAGUUGAGCAUAAUAUCAUGGAGGCAGGAUCAGAAUGGAAAGGUAACUGAUAACUUGGAAGUUUAAACAAUUACAAUUUUCCUGUUUACUGUGUGACAAGAGCAUUAUGGGGCCUUGAAAAUGGCAGUGUCACCACUGGGUAAUAUAUUUUAUUCAAAGACUUUUUGAGAGAGAGCAUCUGUAGAGUCAAAUGGUACUUGCCAAACUAUUCCAUGUAUGGAACCCAUAGGACUUCAUAAUUUUAUGGUUUGCUGGGGGAAAAUAACAAGACCACUCAUGGCCCAGGUGAGUCUUGAAGAGGCUGUGGCCACAAUAUACUGAGCCAGCCGUAGUUCACUGGAUGGGAAGACCCAAGUUUGACUUCCAGAUUUACUUCUUACUUGCACUUUGGGCAGUUACAUUACUUCUCUGAGCCUUAUUUUUUUUUUUUAUUAUGGAGAUAAUGCUACUGAUGUGUAAUAAUUUUGUAUCUACUAGUAUUAGAAUGUAUGAAUUACCCCUUAAUUUUUCAAAUACUUAAACUGUUAACAUCUGAAUCUUGGCCAAAAUGAGCACAAAUGGCAUUUGUAUAAAUGCCUAGUUAUUAAAUGUUAUCACUAUUUAACUAUCUGGAUUUGAAGACCAGUGCAUGGCGUUUGCUAGGAGUUUAUAUCAUGUUCUUACGUAUGUGUGUAGCUGUCUUUACUGCAUCUGUCGAUUAGGAGGUAAGAACACCUGCUGAAUAUGUACCUUGAGCUAGCUAUUGUGGGAGAUAUAAAAGAAGCACAAAACUGGAUCCUGUCCUCAUGGAACUCAAUCUGGUUUCUGAGGUUUAGCUUUUAUGUGACUCACAGAUAGAGCAAUGUCACAGAAAAUAAUAUGCGGAAAAUAAAUGCAAAAAGAACUUGAGAAAGCUUCAUGUGGCUCAGUAUCCUGCACUCAGUAGGAUAUGUGGAGGAUAUAUAUAAAAUCUAAUUGAGAUUCUUAGGAAAGGCUUUAAUGAAGACUGGAGAAUGAAUGAUAUCUGUUAUAAAGGAUGGUGAAGCUUGGCUAUUCAGAGAGUAAUGGAGGAGGUACUUCAGUAGUUUUUAUUGUGUCUGCCCAAGAAAUUCACUCGGAAGCACAAUGUUUAUUUCUGAAGAGGCAAAGACCAAGUUUUAGAAAAUAAAGUUCUCCUAAAUACUAUUAUAAAGUUUGAGUAUUUCUAUUAUGAUUUUAUGACUUCCCAUCUGUGGUAGGUGUUUUAUUGAAAUUAUUUGAAUGUUAUCAAGCUGUGACAACAAUGCUUUAAAGGUCAUACACAAAGCACAAUUAAAUUUCCCAAGUGAAAUAAGAAUGUGCAUUGUGAAAGGCAGAGAAUUUCAAGUAGUUCAGUUUUGUUGUUGCUUUUUUUCAUCUGGGCCAUUUUUGAGGUGUUUAAAUCAAAAAGUUGUUUUUCUUCUUGAUUGCAGUUUUCCCUUAGUUAUUUGUGUAGCUUAAAAAUGGAAACCAAUGUGUUUAAGUUGCAAUAUUUUUGAGUCUAUUAGUUAAUAUAAACUUUAUUCUACACUCAACAGUAGAUUGCAUUAUAGCUAUGUGGAAUGUAAAGAUUAUUUUGCACUUAUAUAAAUGUGAUAGCUUCUGAUUGAUACAGAUUUAAUUAUGCAAACUUUGGCUUAUUAUGAAUUAGAUGAAACAUUUCUAUUCCUCUGUUUCUUUCUUUCUUUCUUUUUUUGAGACAGAGUUUCACUCUGGAGUGCAGUGGUGCUAUCUCGGCUCACUGCAACCUCUGCCUCCCGGGUUCAAGUGAUUCUCCUGCCUCAGCCUUCCCAGUAGCUGGGAUUACAGCUGCAUGCCACCACACCCAGCUAAUUUUGUAUUUUUAGUAGAAACAGGGUUUCUCCGUGUUGAUCAGGCUGGUCUUGAACUCCUGACCUCAGGUGAUCUGCCCGCCUUAGCCUCCCAAAGUGUUGGGAUUACAGGUGUGAGUCACCAUGCCUGACCUAUACUUCUGUUUCUUAUGAGCUUACUUAUUAGAAGAUCUCUAAGAUUCCUGUAAUUUAAAAUUUUGUAAUUUCAUUUCAUUUUACCCAUUUACAUCAUUAAAGUGAUGAAUGGUUGCUUCUUUCAAAUGGUGGGAAAUGAAUUUUGGAGAAUUGUUAGUUAUUAUUGCUCAUUUAAGGUUAUUUGAACGUUUUGACUAUUUGAUGGUGUUUUUUGUUUGAUUUGUGAUGCUGACUCAUAAAUACCAUGAAAAACAGGUCUUUUUGUUCUAACCGAAAGAGGGAUUAUUUAGCAGCUUAAUGACUUUGGUAAAUAAAAGUUUAUUUGCACCUAUGAGAAAGAUGACAGGUAAUAUCUAGAUAUCUGAGUAAAGAGUAAAGAGAGCACAAAUACAAUAAGAUAUGGAGACUCAGUAUCCUAUCAGCUUUUUGAUGUAAAAUGGUACAGUAGUUACUACCUAAGAGAAUAGUCUAUUUCCAUGCUGGUUGCUCACUUGUGUGCUCUUCUGAAAGAGUGAGGGCACUGUGCGUCUGACUGGAUACUGGGGUACUCUGUUUCCAAGCUGCAUUACAGGGAUUUGAAAUAUCUUACAUAUAUAUAUAUAUAUAUAUAUAUAUAUAUAUAUAUAUAUAUAUAAUAUAUAUAUUUAUUUAUAUUAUAUAUAUAUUUAUUUAUUCCAUAUACAGGCAUACCUUGGAGAUAUUGCAGGUUAGGGUCCAGACCAUUGCAAUAAAGUGAAUCACACAAAUUUUGUGGUUUCCCAGUGCAUAUAAAAGUUGUGUUUAUGCUAUUUUGUAGUCUGUUAAGUGAGCAAUAGCAUUAUGGCUAACAAGAGUACAUACCUUAAUUAAACAUUUUCUAAAAAAUGCCUGCACAGAGACGUGAAGUGAGCUGAUGCUAUUGGAAAAAUGGCAUCAAUAGACUUGCUGGACAUGGGCUGCCACAAACCUCCAAAAUUUGUAAUUUUACAAAUUAAAGCCCUCAAUUUGAAAAACAUAAUAUCUGUGAAGCACAAGAAAGCUAAGUGCAGUAAGACAAGGUGUGCCUAUAUAUGUUUCUGUGUAUAUUUAAAUAACUUAUAUUAAUAGCUGCAAACAGUAGAUUUCUUCCGGUGUAUGGCUUUGUCAUUGUUAUCACUGAUUUGUAAUAAUUUACCUCUUUUUUGUAUGUUUUAUUAUUUUCUGCCAUGGUUGAUAAACAAGUUAAUUUACUCUCAGAACAGAGAAUCUGCAGUAUUAUUAUUAAUAGUGACUGUUGACUUCUUUUGUCAUCUAAACAACUUGUUAGUCUGCCCUUAGGCUUGACAUUAUUUUUGUUGUGAAAGAAUAUUCAGUAAAAAGUUUUGACAUGUUUAAAAUCAUUAAAUACUUCCAAACUGGUUUGGAAAGCUUCUCUGGGCUGAAAGCCAGUUGAUUCUUAUCAGUCUUUUUGCAUGACUGAAGUCAAUUACUUCAGAGCUUGAACAACUGCAGCCUUGGUAAAUGGUCCAGUACUGUCCAGUAGUACAAUAUGGGAGGCUUUUAAAUGCUACUGUAAUUGGUAGUUUAACAGAUGUGUUUUGGUUGGACAAGAAUGUAAAAGCUAUUUUGGAGCAUUUUCAAAGGCAUGAAGUUUAAAAUAAUGUAAUGUUAAUUUUGUGCUCUGUAAUGUAUAUCGUAAGAUUGAGGUCUUAAUGUUUGUAUUAAGUAAGUGAAAAUAUUCAAAUGAAACUUGUGUAGAAAAGGAACUGCCUGUGUUCAGAAAGAUUCUGAACAAAAACAAGUGAAUUUUCAGAACUGAACUAACAGUUGCCAGAGGGUGUGGGUUCUGACGAUGUCCUACCUGAGGCAGGCUUUGUGACUUUGGAAAGCCUUGGUUUUCUUAUUUUUAAAGAGGAUCUAGUCCAACACUGGUCUACUCAGACUUCCUCAUUUGUAAAAAAAAACCAAAAAAAAAAACAAAAACAAAAACAAAAAACACUUUCCUUAAUCUUGGAAUGCUUUUCACAAGAACUAAGUGUGGCAUAUUGGUGGCUGUAUGAGUACUCUGGUAUUAUAGGAGUUGAAGUGUGAGGUGGAGAGUAAGAGUAACUGGGGGUAAAACUUAGACCCAAUGUGUCCAGAAGAUUCAGAGCCUUAUCACUGCACAAAGGAGCACAGAUUUUAAACACUGAAGUGCCCAAGUUGCAUGCAAACAGGCUGUGGGCUGACCACCGGUUUUUGUAUUUAUUCUGAAUAUAGUAUGCCACAAAAUUUGAAUGUAUAUGCUUUUACAGAUCUCUGUGCUCUCUCUAGCUCCCCCAAAAUCUCUGCCUGUCUUUAGUUUCAUGCUAGACUGUUUUAUCUGUUUGUUGCCUUUGAAAGCUUUUGGGUUUACCCCAUGCUGGAGUAACAUGUAGAUCUAGAAGGAUUUUGAGCAGGAGGUAGUGUUAUCAGAUAUGGUUAUAAGGAAAGCUCACUUUAGCAAUAGAGCUGACACAGUAGUAGCAGGUAGUGAAUUCUGCAAGAGAAUUAAUGGACACUAGUCAUCUUGAUUGUACUUAGUUAUUUACUGCUUCAGUGUAGUUCUGUUGUGCUUAAUUUUCUUUUCUUUUCUUUCUUUCUUUUUUUUUUUUUUUUUUGAGAGAGUCUUGCUUUGUCGCCCAGGCUAUAGUGCAGUGGCAUGUUCUCAGCUCACUGCAACCUCUGCCUCCCAGGUUCAAGUGAUUCUUCUGCAUCAGCCUCCUGAGUAGGUGGGAUUACAGGCAUACCUCACUAUGCCCAGCUAAUUUUUGUAUUUUUAGUGGAGACAGGGUUUCGCCAUAUUGCUCAGGCUGGUCUCAAACUCCUGACCUCAAGUGAUCCACCUGCCUUGGCCUCCCAAAGUGCUGGGAUUACAGGCGUGAGCCACCGCUCCUCGUCUGUUGUGCUUAAUUUUCUAAACAAACUCUAGAACAAGUUAAGUGGUUAAUCCACGUGAUUUUUGUUCUCAUUUAAAAUCCUAUGCAUUCAAAAUGUGAACUCCAUUACCAUCUCUCUGAUCCGCCCUUGGCAUAGAAUUUGGAUGUGUAUAUUACACUGGACUCUUGGCUUUAAAAACCGUCUAUCUGUAUCUGUGGGAAAGCUUUUCAGAUAGCCCAGACAAUAUAAAUAGCCCUAGAUUUACCCUUAAGUAACAAAUGUGUUUCUUUCUGUGGAGUUACUCGUUGUGUCUGAGGGAUCCUCCCUGGGUUAUUUUUUUCCUCUCCAAUGGACUGGCUUGGCAUAUGAUUGUCAAGAACAGGCACUCUGGUCGGACAGACCUUGUUUAAAUCUUCUCUCUCUCUCCAACUGUGGGCCAGUUCGUUAAUCUACUUGAGCUUUGGUUAGUUAUUCUAUAGAUCGUUUUGUGGAUUAAGUGAAACAUCAUACUGAAAACACUUAGUUUUAUCAUCCAGACCAGGGCACUAAACGAGAAUAAACCAACCUCCUAGUUUUUGGAUGUGUUUGACACGAGGGGAUGUUUAGGGGAAAAUAAUAUUUGACCAUCAGACUUUUUGAAUGCUGGAGAAAGCAUGCACAAUGUCCAUGUAGGAACAUACCCAUAUAUACAGGAGACUUAAACAUGUGCGUGUAUACAUCCAUAUACACAAAAUGAAUUUAGGAAGUUAAUUGAAUCGAGGAGUUUCUAUUUUAUAAGAUAAAUGUGAACAGUACAUUUGUAAUGUAAGCAGUCUACUUUUUUACUCAAACAAGCAGAAAAUAUCCUUUUUUAGUUUUAAACUCUUUGUAGACAAGAUUGAAUAAACUAGAGUGGAUGAGGCACAGAGAAUUGGUUGCCAAUGGGAUCAAGAAUGCUAGAGGAAAGGGCAGAGAUUAUCCUUUCACCCAGAAUUGCUCUGUCUCUCCCUUACUAGGUAGGAAAACAAACAAAUAACAGAGACAAGGGCUACUGCUCUGCACUAAUGAUGCGUGGGGUGAAAGAAGUCCUUGCACACUGGCUCCUCUUUCCUGCUUCGUUCACAACCUAUUCAGCACUUUCUGGAACUUUGCGUGAAAAAUUUCAUAGAUCCCAGCAGGAAUUUUGUAAAACACAUAAUCUUUGCUCAUAGCCAUUACCCAAUGUUGUGUUCCUUCAGGGGCUGAUUGAAAACAGAGCUUUCACAAGGUCUCUUGCAUGAUGCUAGCCUUCAUGGCAUUUGCAUCCUGCCAAGUGAUACUUCUGGUGACCAUCCUGCCAAGUGACACUUUUGGUGACAGUGCCUUGGUUGACUGGUCUCAGCAACCUGCUUUAAUCUCUGCAAUUAAAAGGUAUGAAUGAGUGAACCAGUAAAAUGAAGGAAAAAAUCAACAUAGUGGCGGGAUACUUACAUCCAGAAAUAUGUUAUCUAAGGGUGUGAUACUGGGCAGCCAGCUUUCAUUUAAGAAAUUAGACGUAUUUUUAGGAAACCAGCUUUCUGCUAGUGACCUACAUUAUAAAAUAUUAUAAACUCCCAAGCUGGAUACUAUAAAUUGAAGAUGAAGUUCUUUCAUUUUGCAGUUACACAAUGGAAUAUUAUGUGUCAGGUACUGUUCUAGGCAUUGGGUAUACAAGGAUAACUAAGAAUUUGUCCUUCUCCUCAAGGAGUUCCCACUUUUGUGGCAGAGAGGGCCUUGAAAACAAAUCAUUUAACUGCCACUUACUGAGUGACUAGCACAGGUGAGGCAUCCUACCAGGCUCUGGAGAAAGAGGGAAAUAUAGCCCUGCUCUCAGCAAACACAGGUGGAUGAGAAGGGUAUAAGCAGGGGGCUGGGAAGCAGAGAGAGAGAGAACCUAAAAAGACUUAGGCAAAGGCGAGUGUAUGAUAAAAUGGAGAACGCCAUAGUUCAUUCUUUCAUUUUUUUUUUUGAAGUAGAGUCUUGCUGUCACCCAGGCUGGAAUGCAGUGGUGCGGUCUCGGCUUACUGCCACAUCUGCCUCCCAGGUUCAAGCAAUUCUUGUGCCUCAGUCUCCUGAGUAGCUGGGACUACAGAUAUGUGCCACCAUGCCUGGCCAAUUUUUUUUUUCAUAAUUUUAGUAGAGAUGGGGUUUCACUAUGUUGGCCAGGUUGAUCUUGAACUCCUGACCUCAAGUGAUAUGCCUGCUGUGGCCUCCCAAAGUGGCUGGGAUUACAGGCAGAAGCCAUGGUGCUUGGCCAGUUCAUCCUUUAAUUUUGGCUCUAAUAAAUUCACUGUAUGACUAAAAUGUUACUUUUUCUUGAUGUUAUUAUUAAUCCUGUUUAAAAUUAGAGCAUUGGCUUUAAUUAUUUUUAAAUUUAGACACUGGUUAUUAUUUCUAAAGGAAGUUAUAAACAAAAUUUCAUACAGCAUGCCAUUUGACAAAUUAAUGAAGAAAUAUUUAAUACAUGUGAGUAUCUCAUUUGUUUUGUUAUUCAAGGGGAUUUUAGCUUAUUGCUUUUUGCUUUCUGUAUGUUGAACUGAUAUUCUUUUUGGGCACCUGUUUGUAUAAACGUAUCAAUUUGACCUGUACUUGAAUUAACUGUUUAUUUUUUAUAUGUUGGACAGUACUACAAAUUGCUCUAUUUAUGAACUGUAUGUUUUUCUUCAAUAUGCAGUUUGGAAUCCUGCUGUUGGAACCUUAUUUGCUUCUGUAUGCUCACCCUUAUUCACUAAUGUUUGAUAAUAAUGCAUUAUAAAAUAGCAGUGCUACUUCUUUAUCAAAGGCUUGCAGUAUUUAUUUAGCAUUUGCAGUUUCGAAAUAAUUAAACAAUGCUGAUGUACAGUUCUUAUUGCAUUUCAAAAACCUAACCAGUUAAUUAGCUUAAGUGGUUCUCUCAGCCCUAUUGACAGUUGGAGACACAUAGUGCUGGCUUGUCAGGCUGCUAAAAUGAAACAUAAGAAUGGCAUAACUGUGGUUAGCUUCUUUUCCCCCUCACCCUUGAGAUAUGAGUUGGCUUUCUUUUGUGUGAGAUAAAAACAAAACCAGAUCAUAUGAACUGACACUUCUGCUUCAGAUUAACAUGAGCCUUGUUAUUCAAUUUCAUGUUGGUGUUUCUACACUCCUUUGCCUCACUGAGAUUUCAUUAAUCCUCAUAUCCUUAAUCGCCUCCCCUUUCCCUUAUGAUGGUCUGUUUUAAGAUUCUAUUAUGGUUUUUUUUUUUUUUUUGGAUGCCUUUGAGGCCAUCUGAACAAUACUCUUGGUUAACCUGAGAAUGGAUUACAAUCUGAUCACAUACUUACUGCUGUGUUUGUGUCUCGCUGCCUGUACAGUCAGGUGGCUGUUCUGCCUCUUCACCCUUGGCUGACUUUCACCCAUGGACUUUGAAGUGUUACUGCUUCUAUUUUCAUCAAAUUUUAUACAAAUUACACCGUUUUUCCGCAAAUGUACAUUUAGUGAAGUUUGUUUGGCUCCAGAAUCCAGUCCUUUUGCAGGACAGGAGCAGAGGAAAUGGCAGUGAAGGAGAGGGAAGUCCACGUAGGAAGAAAUCCCAAGACUGGAGGUGGAUUGGAGACAGCAACAGAAGAGAAGAGCGUUGGGGAUGGCUCUGAGUUGAAGCUAGGUGACUGUUGACCCAGAGAAAGAAGUUGAGAGGAGAACCACGCUUUGUAUUUAGGUGGGCUGUGGUGGGGUGGAGGGGAUUGAGGUGUGGAGUUUGAUUUUUGACAUUCUUGUGUUUGUGUUGGUAAGACACCUUGUGGAACUCUCCUAGCAGAGUUUAAGCGAAUGAGCGUAUAUAUUUGAUGAGGUGUAUAUUUGAGAGUGACAGCACAGAGGUGAUCAUAACAGGAGCCACUAUUUGUUGAGUGCAUACUAGCUACAGUGAUAAGUGCUUCACAGACAUGCUGUCUGUGCUUCAAUGUCCUCACCUGUAAAAGGGAUUUAAUAGUAGGAUUCUUGUGAGAAUGAAAUGAAUUGAUAUAUAUAAAGUCCAUAACAAUGUCUGGCACAUAAUAAGUAAUACUUAAGUGUUAUCAUAAUCACAUUUUAAUUCAGUAUCCCUUUGGAAAGAGGUAUUAUUGCAGGUUGAACAUCCCUAAUCUGAAACAUUUUGAGCACUGACAUGACACCUCAAAGUGGAAAAUUCUACACCUGACCUCAUUUGAUGGGUCACAGUCAAAACUUCAUUUCGCGCACAACAUUAUUAAAAAUAUAUAAAGUUAGCUUCAGGCUGUGUGUAAGGUGUUUAUGAAACACCUUAUGAAUUGAAUUUCAUAUUAGACCUGUGUCCCAUCUUCAAGAUACCGCAUUAUGUAUAUGCAAAUAUUCAAAAAUCUGAAAAUAUCAGAAAUCAAUCACUUCUGGUUUGAGACGUUUUGGACAAAGGAUACUCAAUUUGUGUACACAUCUUAUAUGGGGGAAGCUGUGACUGGAGCAAUGUAACUACUCUGCCAAAGGUUGCAUAACUCAUAAGUGGCAGGUGAAAUGAUAUCUUUUUUUUUUUUUUUUUUUUUUUUUGGAGAAGGAGUCUUGCUCUGUCGCCUAGGCUGGAGUGCAGUGGCACGAUCUCAGCUUACUGCAACCUCCGCCUCCCAGGUUCAAGCAGUUCUCUUGCCUCAGCCUUCUAAGUAGCUGGGGUUACAGGCACACACUACCAUGCCCAACUAAUUUUUGUAUUUUCAGUAGAGACAGGCUUUCACCAUUUUGGCCAUGCUGGUCUCGAACUCCUGACCUCAGGUGAUCCGCCUGCCUCGGCCUCCCACGGUGCUGGGAUUACAUGUUUGAGCUACCACGCCCAGCCCAAACCAUAUUCUUAACUCUGCUUGUCUCUCACCUGCCUUUGUGGAAAUAAACACCUCAACAGAGGCUUCAUGGUGUAGAGGAAAGACAGGACAAAAUACCUAACACACAAGGAAGCUGUUUUGCUUAUUAAAUGAACAAUAUGCUUUUAAAUCGUGUAAGAAGAGCUUUGUAAUGAAAAUCAUCAUUAUAAGAAAGAAAAACUUACAGAAAGGUAGGAGUGAGGCUUGGUAUUUGAGCUCCUGCGGAAGACCAAGAGGGAGAAGGGAAGAUCAGUGUAGGGCAAAGCAAAUCCAAGAGAGCCGGGAAGAUAAGAGGAAGAAUCAUGUAGUUUCUGCAUUUACGGACAAAAGCGCUUCCAAAAGUACAUAAGGGUUGAUGCUAUCAAGUGCUGCAUGGAGGUCAUUGAGAGUGAGAACUAAGAAAAGGCAGUUGGAGUCACAUUUUGGUGUUAACCAGAUUAAAUUUCCUUUUGGAGCAAAAACGGUUGACUACACAUACAGUUAUAAGAAUCAGGAACAUAUGAUCCAAUAACAUAGAUGAAUCAGGAACUGAAAUUUGGGGUGUAGAUUUAUUCCUUUGACUUUCUCUCCCUUUUUCAGUUCAUGUUUUACCAAUAGAGUAUUCUGGUAGCAGCACUGUCUGACAUUUGUCAGCUUAAUUAGAGAUCAGUUACAAACUUGGCUAUCUUAUGGAUCUGUGAUACUUCCCAGCAAAUCUGAAAUGCAAUACGGGCACUGACAUGAAAUGAUGAAAAAUAUGCUAAUUUUAACCUGAAAAAGCUCCCUAUUAAUGCAGCAAUUUCUCUUAUUCAUACUAAUUCUCAUUUUUUUUUCUGCAUCCUUUGUGUCUAGUCUCUCCACAAUUGAAAAGCUGUUUUGACCACCACUUAAGAGCAAUAGACUAUAAAUUCUGGAGUUUAAUUUGUUUAAUGUCUGUGAGGGCUUGAUGGGGUUGGGACUUUGUUCACUAGGUAUGAACCCAUUGCCUAGAAAUCUGAAGAAGGGUAUAUUGCAGGUUCUUACGGGUAUUCCUAGGAAGAAGAAAUGAUUUCCAAACAGAAUUAGCAUGUAGAGGAGAAACGCACAAAGAAAAGGAGAUUUGAUUUCCACAAUGUAAGGAAAUGUAAAAUUUCAUUAGAAGAAAGGGAAAGAGGACAUUGCCAGCAAAGAUGGAGAGAAAGAAGGCGUGUUUAAAUAAGCUGGUUUCCAAUUUAGCUGAAACAUUUGAAAGUAAACAGAAGUAGAGCUAGAUUUAGGGGUGUAAGAUGUGGGCAAUUAAUACAUUUAUAUGGCUCAAAAUUUGAAGAGUUGGAAAGCAUCUACAGUGAAAAGCCCCUUUUCCUGCCCCAUUUCCUCAGCCACUCAGGCUAUUCCCCAGAGUCACUGUGCAUAAUUACAUAUAUAAUACAAACAUGUAUACUAUUUCUCUUCCCUCUUUUAUUUUUCCAAAAUGGUAUCAAACUGUAUAUAUUCUUCUGCACCUUGCCUUUUUUCUCACUCAACAUGUUUCUUGGAGCUGACUCUCAAGCAGUUUGUGACUAUGUAAUUAGGACAUAGGCAGCUCCUGCUUUUUUUGUUAAAUGGCACUGCAAAAUGUUCCUUUAUGUGUUUAUACCAUAAUUUAUUUAACCAGUCUCUUGUUCAUGGACAUUAUAACCUUUUGCUCUUACGCAGAGUGCUGCAAAGUGAGCAGUCUUUUCCACGUGUCAUUUCACACAUGUGCAAGUAAAGCUGUAGGAUAAAUUCCUAGAAUGGCUGGAUUAAAAGGCAGGGGCAGUUACGAUUUUGAAAGAUGUAGCCAGGUGGCCUUCUCCAUAGGUUGCGAGUGUAUGAAAGACUUACUUCCAAGCCAGUCUCUUCUAUGCUGCCUGCUAUAACUACCAAUUAGGAAUUUAUUUGGGCUAAUAAGUAACCCAUGCCUGGAAGAUUUAAGGAAUGUGACCUUCCUAAUGCAUAUUAUUUUUAAUCACUGUGCUUUCAACCUAAUGACCAGUUGAGAUUAAGCCACGUGGUACAUAUUUAUUGCAAACCUACUAUUUGGUUCUAGGGAAUCAGCAAGGAGCAAGGUGUUACUUCUCUCUUGGAGUUUAUAUUCUGGUAAAUAAACAAGAUUAUUCCAGAGAGUGAUAAAUACUGUGAAAAUAAUACACAUGACAAUAUAAUUGUAACUUGGCAGGGGGCAGGCUAAUUAGAAGGAGUAUACUGGUUAUGGAAGGCCCCCUGAGGAAGUGAUAUUUCAGCUAAACCUGGAUGAUGUAAAGGAGCCAGAAAUGUGGAAAUCUUGGGUGGCAGUAGCAGGAACAACAACUGCGAAGAUCUUGAGCCAAGAGUAGGCCUAGUGGUUCUAGAAACAAACAGUAGGGUAGAAUAGCAAAGGGACUAUCAUGAGCAGAGGGGAGCAGGGCAUAGCCUGAAGCUAAAGAGGGGCAGGGGUCAGACCAAGUAGAUCCUCACUGUGGUAAGGAGUUGCAAGAUUUCAAAUAUGGAUGUGAUGUUGAGAUUUACUUGUUAAAAAGAUAACUUGGAGCCAGGUGCAGUGGCUCACAUCUGUAAUCCCAGCACUUUGGGAGGCCAAGGCAAGUGGAUCACUUGAGGUCAAGAGUUUGAGACCAGCCUGGCCAACAUAGUGAAACUCCGUCUCUACUAAAGGCAUGAAAAUUAGGCAUGGCGGUGGGCACCUGUAAUCCCAGCUACUGGGAGGGCUGAGACAGGAGGAUCACUUGAACCCAGGGGGCGGUGGUUGCCUUGAGCUGAGAUCACACCACUGCACUCCAGGGCAACAGAGCGAAACUUCAUCUCAAACAAACAAAUAAAUAAAUAACUAGGAGGCUGUGCAUGGUGGCUCACACCUGCACUUUGCGAGGCCAUGGUGGGAGGAUCACUUGAGGCCAGGAGUUUGAGACAGCCUUGGCAAUGUAGCAAGAUCUGCCAUCUCUACAAAAAAUUAAAAUAUCAGCCAGAUGUGGCACAUGUUUGUGGUCCCAGCUACUUGGGAGGAUUGCUUGAGCCCAGGAGUUCAAAGUUGCAGUGAGCAGUGAUUGCACCAUUGCACUUAAGCCUGGGUGAUGGAUGAGACCCUAUCUCUAAAAAAUAAAAAGAUAACUUGGGCUGCUGAGUGGAGAAUGGAUUGGGAGGGGGCAAGGGAUUAAGUGGAGAGAGUAUGUUUUGGGCUGGGCUGUAGUGGCAGCAGCAGAGAUAGCUAUGCCUUGGAAGACAUAUUUUUGCAGAGGUGGAACUGUUAGGAUUUGUAUGCCUUAUGGGUGAUAGGCAGAAAGAGGAAUCAAGGACUCCUAGAAUUUUGGCUUGAGCAAGCUAGGCAUAGAGGCAGGAAGAGACAAGGUUGGGGUGCGGAGGAGGAGGAGAAAUUUGAAGGGUCCUAGGGCAUUUUCUGAGACGAGUGGCCUGGAGAAUGUGACGGAAUGGACUGUUUGGCCCAGCCCACGGAGGAGGAGAGUGCUGGGUUUUAGAAAUGGGGCAUCUGAGAACCCUGACUUCUGUCAUGGUGCCUGGAGUCUAAAGUGGGGAGCAGAGCAUCCAGCGAAGGUGGGUAGUGUCCGAAAAUCUGGAGAAUGUUUGUUUCUUUGGUAUGUUUUAGUUUUUUUCUUUUACAUGAAUAUCUAUAGAUCUUCCUUGAUCACAAAAAAUGAAGUUGGCAAAUUUAUGGAACUGUGAAAGUAAUACCUUAUGUUUUUGUGAAACUUUGAGAGAUAAUUUGUCUACUAUAAAAUUUAUUUAAAAUUGCACAAUUGUGAUUUUUCACAUAAUCGUAAGGUUGUUCAACCAUCACCACUAUCUUGACUGCAGAACAUUUUUAUCACCCCAGAAAGCAACCCUGCGCUCACUAGCAAUUCCUCCUACUCCUCCAUUCCCCCAGCCCCUGGCAACCGCUAAUCUACUUGCUGUAUUCUGGACAUUUUUACAAAUGGAGUCAUAUAAUGUGUGUUUUUUUUGGUGUGAUUCUCUUCUUUCACUUAAAAUAACAUUUUAAAGAUGCAUCCAUGUUGUAGCAUGUGUCAGAUCUCCAUUCUUGAUGGCUGAAAAAAUAUUUCCGUGCACGGAUAUACCACAUUUUAUUAAUUUAUCAGUUGAUGAACAUGUUGGUUGUUUUGACUUUUCGGCUAUUAUGCAUAACACUGCUAUGAACAUUUGUGUAGCAGUUUUUUUGUGGACACAUUUUCUUUCUUUUGGUUAUACACAUAGGAGUGUAAUUGCUGGGUUUUGUUAACUUGAUUUUUAUCUUUUGAGGUUGUAUCCAACUUUAUAUCAUUUAUUUAUCACAGUAGCUAUGAAAGGAACCUGAAGUACUGAAGGAUUUGAUGGGCUAGAGGAAAAAGUGCAUAUGUUACAAAAAAUAUUUAAAAUGAGGUUCAUUCAUGCAUUGGUUAAAAUAGGGCAGACCUGGACACAUAAAUGUGUCAGGAGAAGUAAACAAAACGUGUAAUACUUAUAUAGUGGAAGAGUGUAUUGCAGGUGUAUGUGUGUAGAGAAGUGUGUAGAGAAGUUAUAUCUAUAUGUAAUCUCAACAGAGGUAGAUAAAAAACAAUGAGAGGUAGGUUAAAUGAGAAGUAGAUUAAAAAACAACGGUGAAAAAUGAUUAAAAAACAAUGAUGAGUGAAUAAGUGAGUUGAUACCAUUUAUGUAAGUUAAGAAAACCACAAAGUAAUACUAUGUAUUGCUCAUAGAUGGAAAUGCCCAUAUACACACACAGAAGUACAAAAAGGAUUGGAAGGAUACCCACAAGUCCAUGAUAGUAGUUGCUUUGUAUCCCUACUUCUGAGCUGCAAACCCAUGCCAGUUUUCCUUACCAUAUAUUUAUAUAUAAAUUAUAUAUAAAUGUAUAUAUAUAUAUUCAUAUACAAAUCAUUUCUGUUACAUGACUGUACAUUUCUUCGGAGUAGGGACUAUGUUUUCUUCACCAAUUUCCAUUGCCUAGCACUUAAGUGUGAACACAUAUUUUUGAAUGACUAACUGAAUGAAUUAAAUGAUUUUGGGAACAAGAUAGGGCAGGACUAAUGAAUAAGCCACUCUCCCCCAUCCUGCUCAUUGUCUCUGCUCCCUACCUUCAUAUUCUGUUAGUGUUGUCAUAAUAUGAGGCUUGCAAUUACCAGAGCAGUUCCAUAUGACACGACAUGCUAAUAAAGCAGAUGGUGUGUGCAAAUAAGCAGGAUAAAAGAGGUCUUUGCUGCAAAAGUCAUUGCUGUCUCCUUUAAAGUAUGAAGUAUUUUAUGAUUUCUCAGUAGAUUUUAUCUUCAUUGUCAAGGUAAUGAUUAUGGAUCGUAUAAAUCUUUAUGGCUUUGUUGUAUCAAGUGUCAAAUUACACAGCUUAGGUAGUUGUAGAAAGAAAGAUGUCUGUGAUCAGAUUAGGAAGUCAUAUUACUAAAAGUUUUUGCCGUUCAGGGAGGAGUUGGUCUCACUUUUUUGUGUUCAGAUAGUGGAGAACUGUGCUCCCGUUCUAGGGCCCUCCCUCCUUUCUCUUUAUUAACUUCUCCCCACGGGAGAAAGAAUGGCAAAUUGGAAAGCUCGGGGCUUGACAUUAAUAUGAGUGAAGUCACUGUAUUUCCACAUGGCUUUCGUUCUUUUUUUUUUUUUUUUUGCGGGGGAAACAAGGGGUGGAGGCCUGCAGAAAGGUGCCAGCUAUCCUCUACUUUUUGCCUGCUGUCUUCAGGCAAUAAGGAGAUUAGGGAGGUGUUCCCCUGGCAGGCCUAAUCUGGUCUAUACUUCUUCUAGUCCAGCCUUUGCCUGGACAGGUAAAUCAGUUCAGGUUUGCUCUGUGAACCUGGCCACCUUCAGGUCUGGAAGAAGAACAUAGGAAGCCCUGCUGACGUCAGGCUUAAGCUGUAUUCUCCAGCACAUUUACCAGAAGCCUCUGGGGUUGUGUGUGACCAUGCCUCGAAUAAAGCCCAUGUUCUGAUCCCCAUCUGUCUGUCAGAUGUUAUUUGUGGAUGUUAUUUGUGGUUAUGCCCAGUUGGUUAGAACCUAGAAAGUGAUAAAAGUGAGCCAUGCAGCCGGGCACGGUGGCUCAUGCCUGUAAUCCCAGCACUUUGGGAGGAUGAGGUGGAUGGAUCACCUGAGGUCAGGAGUUCAAGACCAGUCUGGCCAACAUGGUGAAACACUGUCUCUACUAAAAAAUACAAAAAUUAGCUGGGCAUGAUGGCAUGCGACUGUAAUCCUAGCUACCGGGAAGGCUGAGGCAGGAGAAUCCCCUGAACCCAGGAGGUGGAGGUUGCAGGGAGCCGAGACUGCGCCACUGCACUCAAGCCUGGGCAACAAGAGCUAAACUCUGUAUAAAAACAAAAAAUAACAAAAAAACUAGCGAGCCCUACAGCUGCAGGCUGAGGUUCUAGUUUUGGCAAUAAGCUAAAGUGUAAAUAAUUUUACAUUUAAAACUAUGGAACAAAUAGAGGUGGGACAUGGGCUGCCCCUGCCCACCUCUCCAGCCAGUUCCCCGACUCUUCGUCUUCUUUCUGCUGCAUGUGGUCUGACCAUCUUAGUUCUCAAGUUUGCCAAACUUUUUUUCAGCCAUGUGUCCUUUGCCUAUGCUGUUUUCUCUGCUAACUUUCUCUUUUUUUUCUCUCUCUUACUUGCUGCUUUUAUGGUCAAGUUCUAACUCUUCAAGCGUACACUUAAAUAGUACCUUCUCUGACCCCGUAGGCUAGGUUGAUUGCUUCAGUGUACUAAGGCAAAAAUACCCUGAGUAUCUGUGCUCAUUAACCUCUGUGUUUCCCUUUUGUAAGAUUUAUCACAAUUGUAAUCAAAUAUUUAUGCUAUGAUAUAUUUGUUGCCUUUCUAGAUUUUCUAACAGUCUUCUUUGCAUUGUUACAUAAAGUGUUUAGUGCAGAGCUGGGCACUCAUAUUUGGUGCCUGAGGGAGAUUUGUUGAGUGAAUAAAAUAGCAGUGUCCAGCAGCGACAUAGACUGCUGAGAUAUGGCAUGUCAGAGUCUGAAAGGCUUCUGUCCAGUUGGCAAGUGGAAUUCAUUGGAUGUUUUACAAAGAAUAGUUUUAGUAAGGUGGUGGGGACGGAAGUGAGUUUGCAAAGUAUCUUAUAAAAAGCUAGACUUAAUUACUCAUUUACGCAACAUUGGAACCCUUACAAGUGAUUUCUCUACUGAGAGCAACUUUUCUUGAGUUUUACUAACUCAGUAGACACUGUCAGAAUCUGCCAGAUUACAACAAAGGGGUAAAAAUUCCUGAUCACUUGAGGUCAGGAAUUCAAGACCAGCCUGGGCAACAAGGUGAAACCCGAUCUCUACUAAAAAUGAAAAAAAAAAAAAAAAAAAAAAAUAGCUGAGCUGGGUGGUGCGUGCCUGUAAUCCCAGCUACAUGGGAGGCUGAGGCAGGAGAAUUGCUUGAGCCCGGGAGGCGGAGGUUGCAGUGAGCCGAGAUUGCGCCAUUGCACUCCAGCCUGGGCGACAGAGCGAGACUCCAUCUCAGAAACAAACAACUCCCAAGGCAUUAUACUAUGACUCUUUUCUCAAUGGGUAGUGAACAGAAUGGAAUAUUCACUUCACUGCAAAGAGUCACUGGCAGGUGGUGCAGAGCACUGUGCUCCAGAAAGAGCAAAGAGCCUAGAGGUUUCUGAUCUCUGCUUAUCACUCAGCCAAAAGUACAGUCAUUUGCUUAAAAAAAGACAGGUGGCAUAAAAAAAAAAGUAUUCUUUAAUCUCUCUGCUCUACAGGACUUGAAACAUAGCCUUAAAUGACUAAGUCUUCACGUGAGCAUGACAUAACCUGGAAAUCUUCCUAUAAUGGAACUGGCCUUGUGAAGGUAUUUAUUGUUAAGACUUUCCAGGGUAUAUUUUGGGAGGUGCCAUGGGCAGAUACAUCGGCGAUACUGUUACAUAGUCCAGGAUGUUCUACUUUUGAAAAUUAACAAUAAUUACACUCAAGACCUUAGGCAAGUUGACUAUUCUCAGCACUUUAUAUAUACAGUCGUCCCUCAUUGUACACCGGGAUCUCCCCUACCCCUCGCCUAUGGUCAAAUCUGCACGUACUCAGUCUUACAGUCAGCCCUGAAGAACUCGUAUAUGUAAAAAGAGGGUAUCUCUAGGCAGUGAGGUAGCUUUCUGUUAGCUCUUGUAGGGACCAUGUUCUUGUGGACUUGACAAAGAAUGUUAUAUCAAAAGUCGUAACUCCUUUUUCCUGAUUUAAAGAUGACAUUUACAUGGUUUUUGUGUCCCAUGAAUACGGUAUUUUUGAUCUGCAUUUGAUUGAAAUGCAUUUGAGCUGCUCAGUUGAAACCUGUGUUGUUCAAGGGUCAGACUGUAUUAACCUAUUUAAUCUUUGCAGCAAAUCCUGUAAGGAAUCAGUCCUUUUACAGAGGAGGAACCUGAAGCUCACAGAGCUUAAGGACUUUGCCCGAAGUGGCAGAAUUGGCAUUUGAACCUAGGCAUCCUGGCUUCAGAAUCCAUGUUCUUCCCUUUUAGGUUAUACUGCGUCUCUGUGGCCACUUGAUGAUAAAGUCAGUAAUUAGGAUCCACUGUUGUUCCCUCUUGUGCCUCUGCCCUUUUGCUCAUGUUCUCCUCCCUGACACUAGAGCACCUGCUCCCCCUUCACCUGCAGUGAGUGUCUCGGGGAAACAUCAGCACAGAGGCUCUGCUUUCUCCCACCCGGCAGGUCCGCAGGGGGUUGCUGUUUCGAAAGUAUUGAGUGCUCUGGACACCAUGAUCUGUUCUGUAGGAUUCUUCUGUAGCAGGAGCUUUGUCAUGGACUCAGUUGCCUUUUGAAUGCUGGUCAGGUAUCCUAGUCAUCUUUCACAAUGUCGAUCAUAUGGGAAAAUAUGUUUCUAGUUCUGACAACUGAAUUACAUGUACACCUUUGGAACAUAAUCUGUUUUUAGGUUGAGAACUACCUGUGUAUUCAUCAAGUACUGAAGUUCCCAGUGUUCAAGAAAUGCCCUAUGCUAUUAACAGAGAAUUAACAGGUUUCUCUAAAGAACAAAACUAAGCUUAGUAUGGCCUGGUAUUAAUCCCUGUCUAGAAGUUUCACAAUCAAAAGGGCAAAAUGUGGAAAAGCAAAGAUAAAUAAGUAAAAUUGGAAAAUACGCAAAGCCGUUAGAGAUGUACCAGUGGCUCAGAAGUAGGUAAUAAUGAGAAAUGCACCCAACCUCUGUGACUGUGAAACAUGCCACCCAAGCUUUGGGUUUUUGAAAUCUGUCUCUGGCACUUGAAUCUCCUUGUCAGUGGCAAACUGGAGAGCUUUCCAUACUUCUGUGCAAAGGAAAGCAUACCCCAGAGCAAAAACAAAAUAAAAUGCUACUUAAUAUUCAAUGUGGUGUCCUUUGAAUUUAAAAGUUGUAGUGAUACUAUUAUAGCAGAAUUAACAUUAUUGUCAUAUUAGCAUUGGAACUUUCCCAUUUAUUUUUGGCUUGGUGAAUUUGAAAGUGUUGUUUAACAGAAAAGAUUUUAAAAGGUUAGAUGCAAUAGCAUUUAUUUUGCACAGUUUGAUGGAUUGCCAGCAGCAGGGAAAACUACAACUCAGAUCGUUUCAACAACUUUCUGUUCUUGGAUUUUUCCUUUCUCACCAAUUUUUCUUUCAGAGCAAUAAUCAUUUUACUGUAUAUGAAAGAGAUACCUAAAUAUCAGGUAUCUAGUUAGGUGCUAAUGAACUCCUCCUGCCCAUUUUUUAAUUGUUUGCUUUAUCAUAGCUCUAAGUAGUCGUGCUAAUCUUUUAGGGGGAGGGUUAAGGAAAGAUUUUACUUAAUUUUGGGAUUUACUUUGUCUUUUACAGAGCUUGAUAUGUGGCUUAACAGUAAGUAGGAUUAUAGCAAGUUGUUAUUUUAGAGAAAGUAAACGUUAUCUCAUUAUAUUCUUUUUUAACAUAAUGAGAAUCUUUAUGGAAGAAUUUGCGACAGCUCAAGAACAUUUUUUAAAAUUUAAUUUUAAGUUCCAGGAUACAUGGGCAGGGUGUGCAGAGUCGUUACAUAGAUAAACAUGUACCAUGGUGGUUUGCUGCACCGAUUAACCCAUCACCAAGUAUUAAACCCCACAUGCAUUAGCUAUUUAUCCUGAUGCUCUCUGUCCUUCCACACCUCCCUGAUAGGCCCCAGUGUGUGUUGUUCCCCUCCCUGUGUCCAUGUAAGAACAGUUCUUUUUAAAGGUUAGUACUUGGAUUGUUUUAUUGUUGUACUGUUUAAGCAGCUUUGUUGAGAAAGAGUAAAUUAAAGCUUUUAUCAAUUUUUUUUUUUUUAACAGCAAAUCUGUACUCUCCUUUUUUUUUUUUUUGGUGGCCCAGGCUGGAGUGCAGUGGCGUGAUCUUGUCUCACUGCAACAUUUGCCUCCUGGGUUCAAGUGAUUCUCCUGCCUGAGCCUCCUGAGUAGCUGGGACUGCAAGUGUGUGCCACCACGCCCAGCUAAUUUUUGUAAUUUUAAUAGAGACAGGGUUUCACCAUGUUGGCCAAGCUGGUCUUGAAUUCCUGAUCUCCAGUGACCCGCCUGCCCUCCUCGGCCUCCCAAAGUGCUGGGAUUACAGGUGCAAGCCACCGAGCCUGGCCUGCACUCUCACUUCUAGUUAUCAAUGUUAAAUUUAUCAUUUGUCACUAAAUAAUUAUGAUAUUCAUAAUUACCAAAGCCUUUUAAAACUGCAUUUUUAUAAUUUUUGCUACUUGCUGAUAGAAGACCUUUUGACUUAAAUAUCUAAGUUUUAGAUUGACAUUAGUUUUGAUAUAUAAGGUUUAGUUUUCAGUAUUGAGCUGCUAUCUGUAAACUAAUUAUAUUUUGAAGUGAAAUUAGUGGAGAAUGGACAUUUUCUACAUUGCGUGAGCGUCUACAGCUAGAGAGUAUCUCUAGGCAGUGAGGUAGCUUUCUGUUGGCUCUUAGAUGGGAUCACAUUCUUUGGGCUUGACAGUGGAUGUUAUGUCAAAAGUCAUAACUCCUCUGAUUUAGAGAUGACAUUUAGAGUACUGUAGGUUUAUGAGAACCUGCUCUUAACCUUAAAUAACAGAGCUGCUGCCAGGGCUGCUGCCUUCCUUCCUGGUUUUUGGGUGCUUGAGACUCUUGGAAAGUGGGCCAGAUGCAGUGGCUCCUAUCUGUAAUCCCAGCACUUCUGGAGGCUUAGGCGGGCAUAUAGCUUCAGUCCAGGAGUUGUGAGAUUCUUGGAAAUGUAAAGCAUAGUUGAUGAGAGGGGGAAUUAAAUAGCAGACCGGAUGGUUCUCAAAAUAAAAUAGGAAAUUAGAAGAUAUGAGGCCUUAAUAACAACAACAGCAAAAAUGAGAUGUAUCUAUCUAUAAUGAGAUUUCUGAAUGUCAUAAUACAGAGACAAUUCUGUAUCCAAUUAGAAUAAAACUUGUUACCUUCAAGUGGAAUGAAUCAAAUGCAAUAAUUCUAUACCCAGCCAAACUACUCUUACAUAGGUGGUCAGAGGAUCAAUAUUUAAAAACCUGCUAUUAUUCUAACUUUGAAUCCUUUCAGGAAAAAAAAAAUUUAGAAAAUACUUAAGGCAUUGGUGAAGUCAAGAGUGAAAACCUCAUAGGAAAGAAUAUGUGGCUUAUAUGCAACCGAUUAACUUGAGUCAAAUCUAAAUAAAUGUUAGUAGGUUGUGAAGCUAAGUGGAUUCAUUGACAUGAAAAAUACUAUAGAAUAUAACCAACUUUUCUUAAUACUGGAAGUCCUUUUGAAAAAUCAAAUUAUUGCUGGGUGUGGUGGCUCAUGCCUGUAACCCUAGUAACUUGGGAGGCUGAGGGAGGAGGAUUGCUUGAGCUCAGAAGUUCGAGACCAGCCUGGGCAACAUAGCAAGACCCCAUCACACACACCCAGAAAACAUCAAAUUAUUUCUUUCUGUAGCUCUGAGUUUAUAUGCAUAUCUAAUGAAAUGAUUGAAAACCCUACUCUGGCAACACAGGAGUUGGGCUGGCGAUAAAAGGUGGGGGAAAAGCAGGAGUACUUAGGAUGUGGGAGAGGAAAUGAUACAAAUAUGAUAGACUGUUAAUUCCUGGGAAAAAUACCAGAAACAGCUGAUCUGAUUUUCAGAAGUAAUCAUAAAAAUAGAUAGCAUUUAUUGAAUGUUGCAAGGCCUUUGCUAAGUACUUAAUAUUGUUACCUCAUUUUACCCUGUAUAUCAGAGAUAUUAAUGAGCUGGCUAAUUUAUAUACCUGUAGAAUGUGUAAUGAACACUCAUUAGCAUUAUAGAUAUGUUAGUUUUAAAGUGUAUCUGUGUCCUUUUAAAAUAUUUCCUUUUAACUCUUAAAUUGAAAAGUCUAGGGAAUAAUCCUAAUCAAGAAGGAGUUGCAGGAAACUAUUGUAAAUCCAGGUUGUAAAGAGAAAAUAAAUUGGUUGGUGAGAACUGUCACCUUUUCCAUAAGAUAAUUUAAGCACAAAUGAUUACAACAAUUUACGUUUUUUAUUGUGGCCAAUAUAGUUGACUUGGUUUAAAUCAGACAGGAGAAAAGAGGAAAAUUUUUAUUGAUUAACCAGGCCCUGAAUUUUCUGUCUUAGGAGGAGGAAAUUAUGUAGUUAAAUUGUAUGAUUCCUGUCAAAAGAACAAUGAACUUUUGAGCAGAUUGGCUGAGCAGAGAGAAUACAAAGCAGGGCUAAUGAUUGUCUUCAUCAAAGAGAACUUCUUGGGAUAAGCAGAUUUCUAUGCUUUUAUAAGAUAGAUUUUUUUGGGGGCAGUGAGAAUAUAAAAACAAAUUCGGGAAUGAGAGGUUAAUCGAUAAAGAACCUGAGUUGUGUUUUAGUCAUGGAAACAGUGGCUUUUUUUUUUUUCAGUUUUGUUUUUGAUAAAAAGUAUCCUAAAUAUAAAGGAGGUAUAUUUCCAGGUAGGACUGUGCUAUGUAACUCAGUAGUCUCUAAACUGAUUUUAGUUUUGCUUUUGAUAUCUGAAUGGAUUAGGAAAAUUCCUUCCAAGAAACCAGAGACCAGAAGAUCAGACAAAUACCAUAUCAGUUUCUCUGCUUUGAAAAUUAUAAUUCAACCUUGUAAAAUUUUUCUAACGUUGUGUUCUCUGUAAAUAACACAGAGUAAAAAUAAGUCAAACCAUUUGUUUUUUCCUCUAAAUGUUCUGAACAUUAAACAAAUGGUUCUUGGCAAACACAUACUAUUUUUUUUUUUUUUUUGAGAUGAGUCUCUAUUGCCCAGGCUGGAGUGCAGUGGUACAAUCUUGACUCACUGCAACCUCCGCCUUCCAGGUUCAAGCGAUCCUCCUACCUCAAACUCCCAAAUAGUUCGGACUACAGGUGCGCGCCACCAUGCCUAGCUAAUUUUUGUAUUUUUAGUAGAGAUGGGGUUUCACCAUGUUUGCCAGGCUGGUCUCAAACUCGUGACCUCAGGUGAUCUGCCUGCCUUGGCCUGCCUAAGUGCUGGGAUUAUAGGCGUGAGCCACCAUGCCCGGCCAUACUAAUUUAAUUUUAGGAAUGUUGUAUUAUAGUUCAUUUUGAACAAAUUGUAAGAAGAUUAUUUUGUGCCCAUAUGUGUGAUAAUCAGAAUAGCUUGAUGUAGAUAUUUGGUAUCUUUUUAGAAUAAUUAUGUUUAGAUAAAUCUUUUCUGUGGAAACAUAUUCCUAAACAUUUAAGCCUAGUUAUACCACCCUCAAAUAUAAGAAGUUUAUGAACUUUGUGGGCUGAUUCAGGAAAUCUUUUCACACUGAUAAAAACAGGAGACUUUAAUAUUAUUUUGGGAAGAAAAAUGAGAAAUUUGAAGAUAUGUCUCUUAUGAAUCUUGCUGCAUCAGUUUGUUUUCUGCUGAUAGUCUGGUUGAUGCACAAUUUAGUUUUCAAAGAAUUUCUCUUCAAAAAUACCGGCUAGGCACAGUGUUCACACCGGUAAUCCCAGCACUUUGGGAGGCAGAGGUAGGAGGAUCGCUUGAGGCCGGGAGUUCGAGACCAGCCUGAACAAUGUAAGGAGACUCUAUCUCUACAAAAAAUAAAAAAACUAGCCAGGCAUGGUGGCGUGCACCUGUAGUCCUAGCUGCUUGGGAGACUGAGGCAUGAGGAUCCCUUGAGCCCAGGAAGUCAAGGCUGCAGUGAGCUAUGAUAGCACUACUGCACUCCAGCCUUGGUGACAGAGCAAGACCCUGUCUCAAAAAACAAAUAUUUUUCAUCCUUGGAAAAAUAAAACCUAAAAUAAGAAGAGCAGCACAAUAUUUUUCUUUUUUUUGAAGUAGCAGGGCUGACCAAAGCCAUUUCUAGCCAAAUAAAUUAUUUAUUAAUCAAUAUCGUUACCACAUUCUCUAUGUGGAAAAAGUAUUCAAAUCUUGAGGCCUAUGUUUUUUCAAACUUGAGAGUCAUACAGUUGCCAGCUUUUUUUUUUUUUUUUAAGUAGUAGACAAAUUGUAAGAACUACAAAACUGAAAAUUACCUUCUGUUUUUCUUCCCCAUAAGCUGCUGUUGAAGUGAAGUGAGCUCAGGGAGACAGGCCUGUUGUUAUCUUCCUAUGGCACUGAUUUACACUUUUACAGAAGGGAAAUUUAUGGCCCUUAUCUGUUGAGGACUUUUAUGAAUGACUGGUAUAAAUCAAGAAUUGAAUGAAUAUUUUUCCCUUUAAGCAUAAAUCUGUGAUUGGGAGAUUGAUUUCUGAGUAACUCUUUGGUAACCCAUUUAAAUUGUCAUCUUCCAAUUUUCUGUAUUUUGGCAUAAACUGAAUAACUAAAAUAUAACUUAAUACCAGCAUGAUAGAUUUGUUUUUCUUCUGUUAGAUACUUUAGAAUUCAUCUAGACUUCUCACAGACCUCGAUAAAUAACUCAGCAGUCAGAAUGGAAAACAAAUUUAUAUAGUGGAAAUCUCAUUAAUGGGAAUGAACAAUACAACUGUAUUCAAGGUUUAGGCAGGAGAAGGAAAAUGAUAGAAAUGUAUUUGUUUAAUUUUAAAGAUUCUUAUGAUAAAAUGAUCAUUAAUUAGGGAAGAUAAGUAGAAAAAGACAGUCCUUUCUGGGACAUUUGAAGACUAACAGCCUUUUAUUGAAAGUCCUGGAAAAGUAUGUGUAAAAAGCCAGCCAUGAUGAUCUUUUACCUACACUUCCUUAGGAGACUUUCCCUCAGCAAGAUGUGUCUUUCUAAAAACAAAAGAUAAGAGACAAUAGGAGCCCACAUAGGAUGGAAAGCUAGAAAUCAGGUGGGUUAAAAAUAAUUUCAUCUACACUAUCUUCCCCUUCUCAAAAGAUUUUUAAUCUGUAAAUGGCAACUUAUACAUGGAAGGAUUAUAAAAUACAUAAAAUUACUUUUUAUUUGUCUUCUCAGAUAUAUGGCGUGUUCUUUAUCUUCCCCUUGUUCCAAGUAAUUUUGUUAAGCAGUAAACAACGUGGAAGACAGGUUGGUCAGGAGAUAAGCAGUUGAUUCCGUGUUUUUUGAAGAGAACUUUUAUGAUAGUAGGAAGAGGAGGGCAGUGCUGGUCCUGUAGUGCAGUCGUGUAGUACUGUUUGCUGUGGGACAAGAGGAAGGAACAGACUGGCAGGAAGGGACUGCAGCAUGGAAGGGUGCUAAGUGCGUCACUGAGUGAUAAGGGUGCUAAGUGCAGGAAGGCCCACUGGAUGGGCAGGGUGAGAGUGGGUUCAGGUUGUAGGUGUGGAGUUGGACAGGCUGGCCUUGUUCUAGCAGCACCAUUUACUAGCUGUGCCACCCUAGGCAAGUCACCUUCUCUGCUCCUCAUUUCCCUUCUCUCUAAAUGGUGAUAAUAAGAGAAGCUACCCUCUGAAGUUGUUAGGAUUAACUGAGCUGAUACAUAGAUGUAAAACCCAUAGGACAGUACCUAGCACGUUGCAUCCAACAAGUGUCAGCAAAAUAUUAGCCUAGCCAGUCACCUGUGGCCAUUAUCAACAUCUGUCUCCAGUUAGUCACCACCUUUGGUCAAUUCUGCAUUUGAAUAUUUCUUAAAGAUGAUUUAUCUUCUCUGCCCUCAUGGCCAUAGCCUUAGUGUACAGACUUUUUAACUCUCAAAUAAAUUAAUUCCGUUUAUUCUUUUAGUCAAAUUUUACUAAAAUCCAUUGUGCAGAAAAUGACCUGUUAAUUUUCUAAAAUGCAGAUCUUGCCCUGCCACUCUGCUUAAAUCCCUGUCAUGGUUUUCUGUCAUCCUUAAGGAAUUUAUAAUUAACUUUCAGCAUUAAAGGCAUGCAGAGUUCUUCAAAAGUUAGCUCUUGCUUGCCUUCCAACCUCAUCUCUCAUCAGAUACUUUAUGAACAUCAUAUAUUCUAAUUCUUACUAUACCUUUCCAAAAGGCAGUCCUCAUUUUGCACAGUGAUGCAGGACUGUAACAGUGAUGGUUCAAGCUGAACUACACACAACAAUCUUAAUAACAGUGGGAGCAACUCCAGUAUUCCCAUGACCUUUGAAUGUUUUUGUUAAAACAUUAAAAAUUCUCUGUCAGUGAUAAAUAUGUAUGGAAAUGAAAAAGUAAAACUGGUAUUGAUGUAGUAUACUGUAAUGUAAAACAUUAGAUGAAAGGCUCACACCUGUAAUCCCACACUUUGGGAGGCCGAGACAGACGGAUUGCCUGAGGUCAGGAGUUCGAGACCAGCCUGGCCAACAUGAUGAAACCCUGUCUGUACUAAAAAUGCAAAAAUUGGCUGGGUGUGGUGGCGGGCACCUGUAAAUCCAGCUACUUGGGAGGCUGGAGCAGGAGAAUCACUUGAACCUGGGAGAGGGAGGUUGCAGUGAGCUGAGAUUGUGCCAUUGGACUGCAGCCUGGGUGAGAAGAGCGAAGCUCCAUCUCCCAAAAAAAAAAAAAAAAAAAUCAGAAGAAUUGAGAAUUAAAAACUUAUCAGGAGUAGUUUGAACAGUGCUUGUCUUCUUCAUCUUGUCAUACGAUAUAAGAUGGGCCUAGCAUCUUUUCUAUGACUUGGUGAAUUUCCAUACUCCUUUCUAAGUUUGGAUCAGUUUCCCGUAUUUCAUCCUUUGUGCUUUCAGUGAGUUUCAUUAAUGUGAAGUUUUUUUGCUGGCAUCACUUCCUCUGGGACGUCUUUAUUCUUUUGCUAAUUUAUGUGAAGCUGCCUUCACCAAGCUCCUGUGGCUGCACAUCAUUGUCUCUUAGAUGUCGUUAGUGUCUCUUAGAUGUCGUUAGUGUCUCUUAGAUGUCGUUAGUGUCUCUUAGAUGUCGUUAGUGUCUCUUAGAUGUCAUUCCCAUAGUCAGCUAUUUCUUCUCUAAACGUCGUUUAUGUUUGAUUCAGAUUUCACUUUGAGUUUACCAGUGUUUCAGUGCUGUACUUUCAUCUUUGCUGCCCAAUUCCCUCUUUGGAUUACCCAUUUUUGUAAAAUGUCAAGUGGGUUAAUCACUGUGAGACAUGGUGGCAGCACAACUAUAUGCUUUUCUGUCUGUGUACCAACUCAGAUGCACAGUGACCAAUCACUGACAGGCUUUGAAAGAAGUGACGUGAUUGGUCAUGGAUCAUGAUACAGAUCUGUUAUUUACUCAGUGAUUGGUGCACUGAAUAGCUAGUGGUGAAGUUUCUUUUAUGUAAUUAUUAUUGAUUAAUUUAUCAUAGUAACUGACAUUUGAGUCUUAUUAUUGGCAGAAUGAUGUUAAUUAAACUGUGGUAACUGAAAUUUAUGCAUCUCAGAACUGUGCAAAGCAAGGACUGCGAGUAUGUUAUAACCAUUUCACAAAGUCUUAAAGGUUAAAUGGCUACAUACAGCACAUGGCCAAAAAGUGGCAGAAUUACAUUAACAUAACUUUUCAAAUAUCUUUGAUAUUUAUGUUAUAAGGAGGCACAAUCUGUCUCUUAAUGCUUCUGUCAAAUUAAAUACUCAUGGAGUUCAAAUACAAAUGGAUUGUCUUCAGAAAAAAAUUAUUAGCAUGUGUAUUUAGGUCCAUAGCCCUAUAGGAACUCUGUCUGUGCUUAGCUUGGGCUAACCAUGUAAGACUGCCAAGAUUUGCAUAAAAAUCCAAUUAUUGUAAAGAGCUACUCAAAGCUAGCAACAUACCUGACCUUAUCUGAGGUUAUUUUUUGGAAUGAAUCAAGAGUCCCCAGCCUUGGAGUGAUGAAAAGACCAUCAUUUUUAUUUGUUUUAUUCUGGAACAAAUAAAAAAUCCCUGGAAAGGAAAGGAACAUCCCGUAGUCAAGUGGAGAAAACUGGUCUAAAUAGUUAGCAGUGGAGAUAUUGAGAUACUCUGCUUAGGAUGAGAGAUCAGCAGCAGUGGGUAGGGAUGUUAAUGACUGGACCUUAAGCUUCAGGGAUUCAGAAAUAAGUUCAGUUAGUUCUCUUAGGAAUAAGUUAAAUAGUGUCUGCUCAAUUCAUCUGGCCGGCUGGUAGUCAGAGUCCACAGUAAGUAGUCAAAUUUGAAAGUUGUAAGAUACAAUCCAGCUUCUGCAAUAAUGAGAAGGCUCAGUUUGGAGCAUCUAAAAUUGUUCAGGGUACAAGAGAACUGAGAUACACAGAUGGACUAAAAUAAUACUCAGUUGUGGAUAGAUGAAGGCUGAGAAAAAAUAUGAUAAAAGGCUUUUUUUAAGUGCCUCUAAAAUGCCAGGUCUUCUAGAUUACUUUUACUUAUUUGUAAUGUAAUUCUUAUAAACAUCUUGUUAGCAGGUGUUAUAGUUGUUAUUUAGAACUUUUCUGAGAUUAUAGAGCUAGUAAGUAAUAGAGUUGGGUUUUUUGUUGUUUUUAAUCCAGGCCCUUUUAAAUAUAUAACUCCUAAAUGAAAGAUACCAGACCCAAACAUUAUGAAAAGAAGGAUAUUUGGGGAGUGCAUCUCUCAUUUUUGAUCUUGCAUGUUGUGUUGUAUGGACCUUGGAAUGUAAUUUUCUGUAGAAAUAUUUGAAAAUGUAAUUUGAUACCCAGUCCACACUGCAAAAGCCUAUUUUUUUUUUUUUUUGUCAGGGUCUUGCUCUAUCACCCAGGCUGUAGUGCAGUGGCACAAUCUCAGUUUACUGCAGCUUCAGCCUCCUGGGCUCAAGCAAUCCUCCCGCCUCAGCCUCCUGAGUAGCUGGGAUUACAGGUGUGGGACACCAUGUCUGGCUUUUUUUUUUUUUGUAGAGACAGGUCUCACUAUGUUGCCCAGGCUGGUGUUAAGCCCUGGGUUCAAGCAGUCCUCCUGCUUUGGCCUCCCAAUGAGUUGGGAUUACAGGCAUGAGCCACCAUGACAGAUAUAGAGACACAUAUGGAGACACAUAGAGAUGUGCAUGUAAAAUAGGCCCAAAAGCCUAUCCGUAUGUGUCUCUCUAUCUGUAUAUACAUUUCUUUCUGUGCUAUUUAAAAUACAUGCAGUCACUGUGUGACAUAUUACAUUUCAAGUGCCAACUUGGGAAUGGUGGAACUCUGCCUCUCACCUUGAGGACAGCCCUUCUUUGCAGCACAGUCAAUGACUAGGAGGACAGUAGGCCUGUGUUUACAUCUGUGCAAGAAUGGCAUCUGCCUUCAUCUCCGCAUGCUCCUAGAGAAGGAGCCGUUUCAGCGAGUCACUUCUCAGGUAUUCUAAAUUUGGUAAUAAAAGGACUUGAUGCACUCCAGGUGCAGUUUCUCUGACCAUAUCAAUGUUCUUAAUUUUUUUUUGAGGGGAGGGGACUGUGUCCUAAUUAGUAAUUAAGGUUAUUUUGAUAGCAAGUGUUAGAAAAAUGCUAAUUCCAAGACUACAAGCGUAUUUCACAUUCUGAAAUCCAGGUAUCCUAAGGGACCAUGGACUGGAACUCCACUAGAUACUACUCAGAAGCUUCGUCCGCCUCAUCUGUCUCUACUUUUACCUCUGUGACCUAGAGGUCACUUGAAACAAGCUUCCUCCUGCUCGUCAGCUUCAUUCCUCUCUUUCUGAUGACUGUCUUUCUCUAGCCAUCUGAGCCUCCUGUCCUAUGUGACAGUCUCAGCUCAUGACUUUCCAUCCCCUCAGUUUCAAGAGUGUGUCUGAGACCUGAUUCCAGAAUCCCAAAAGGCAGAAUGACAUUGACUGACCCAACUGGAGUUCGUUAGGUAUCCGUGGCUUGUUAGGAAUCUAUCUCUAGUAGGAAUGUCUGCUGCCCUGGGGGCCGAAUCCUGCCUGUGCAUGACCUGCUAGGGCCCAUGCCUCCGGUGGAUGGAAUGAAGCAAGGAUGGGGGCUGCCUGCAGAGCUGUGUCACUCACUUGUAUUCAGCUUUCCUGCCUCUGGCUCUCUGUCUUUUACCUUUUUUUGUUCGUUUGUGUUUUGAGAUGGAAUCUCGCUCUGUUGCUCAGGAUGGAGUGCAGUGGCUAGAUCUUGGCUUACUGCAACCUCCGCCUCUCGGGUUCAAGUGAUUCUUCUGCCUCAGCCUCCUGAAUAGCUGAGACUACAGGCACAUGCUGCCACGCCUGGCUAAUUUUUUUAUUUUUCAUAGAGACAGGGUUUCACCAUGUUGGCCAGGUUGGUCUCAAACUCCUGAGCUCAAGUGAUCCGCUUGCCUCAGCGUCCCAAAGUGCUGGGAUUACAGGCGUGAGGCACCACGCCUGGCCUUUUAUCACUUUUAAACUAAGAAAACAAUGAUCACCAUACAUGCUCUGCUUCCAAACUAUACUUUCACAUCCAAAGUACCCCCAGAUCAUAAAGUGCCACCAAAGAGCUGUGAUAUGAAGAAAGACCCCGGGUAGAAUCACUCUGAAAAUGUGGGAGGUUUUUUUUUUUUUUUUUUUUUUUAAAGCAAAUUCAUUUUACUUAGCCAGAAUCCUAAUAGCCUGCUGAUUUUUGUAGAUGAUUACUCUGAAAACAUAUGCAUUGGUGUGGUCUAUGAGUAAGGCUCUGCCUUUUAAGUCACAUUCUUUGCUGCUUCAUUGCAAUGAAAAAUACCAAAGGUGAAUACCAAAUCAAUUUUUUUUAGUAUUGUACUUGUAAAGACAGUCCAUGAAGUGGUGAGUGGGAGAAUCAAACUUUUGUGGUAAUCUUUUAUUGUAAUCUACUUUCAGCUCAGAGAAGCAGCAUAGCCUGGUGGACUAAGGGAGGAUGGGGAGUUUGGAGCUCUGAGAUAUGAACUGUUUUGCAAUGACUAGUUUUGUGACCUUGAGAAAGGACCUUAACCUCUGUCUAUGUCUUCAUAUGUAAAAUGGGAUCUACCUGAUAGAAACAUAGGUGCAUUCAUAUGUGAGCAAACUGAAUAAUUAGAUCUCACAUAAAUCAGGAGUGAUUUUUUUUUUAAAUGGCUGAAGCCUGCGGUUUAUAAAAAGAUUCUCCCUAGAAUUCCUUUAAGACCUAACCUUUUCUCAGGGGUGUUUAAACUGUGAUUAACAAAUGUUAAAUUAUACAUCCCAGUUUACAAAAUAUACCCGUUGAAUAGAGUGAGACUAACAUGACUUUUUGUCUCAUAAAAUUAUGACAAUAACUCAGUCAGUCUGUGUGAAAUACUUUGUAAACAGAGCUUUGCAGGCUGCAGUAAAAAAAAAAAAAUAUAUAUAUGUAUUUUAUAUUUAAAAAAUAUAUAUUUUUAUAUAUAUAUAUAUCCCCAUACCUGAAGAUUUUGGGGUGAACUUUUUCCAGGUUAAGAAUGACAUUAGUGCCAACUGUGCUGUAUUUUGGCUAUCGUGAUGACAUUAGUAUCAUCAAAUUGGUCGUGGCAUUGGGACACUGGCAGCAUGUCAUCCUGCCCCAGUCAAGAAUGACUGUAGGCAGUUUCAGUUUAUCUGUUGCUACUAGAAUUUUGAUGUAGCAGUGUCAAAAGGUUGAUUUGUACUAUGGCAAUCUUAUUCCUAGAUGUGAAUUCUCCAGGGGGCAAAAUAUCCUAAAAGCUAACAUGUAAACAAGCUCAAAGGAUUAAUGUAGUAGGAAGAAAUAGUAGUUUGUUAUAUAUUCAUGUUGAAUUUAGGUAACUAUUUUAGUUAUUUAAAAGAUUACUACCGAAGGGAAGAAACAUAUUUUGCUAGGUUUCGCAUAGAAAAACCUGUGUCUGGCUCAAGGUAAUACUUGAAUUUUAAUAGGAACCUAGGUUUGCUGUCUUCCCAGUGUAGACUGUAGCCUGCACUGUCAUAGAAGAGUGUUGAUUGAUCCGGUUGUGAAAUAGAUGGAUACCCACAUUUAAGUUGCUUUUGAAAGAGUCAGUUUCCCUCCACAAAUAUGGCAACAAAAUUCUUUUAUAAUCCACAAAUAGAAUUUUUCUUCAUCUGAAAGAGAUUUCUCCUAAACCAGCCUGAAAAAUUGCUUUUCUAGGAAGAAUUUCAUGGCUGAGCCUCAUUCUUGUACAGAUUCAUAGCAUGUUAUUACUAACUUGUAAAUAUUCACUUACAGAAGAGAGUGACUAGAAUCUUUGAAUUCUUUUAUAUUGGUGUUGAGGUUUCUAUCCAAGUUACGCAGUUUUUCAUUCAUUUUAGAGGAAGAUUUUCUCAAACAAGGAUUCUUCGUGGUUGCAAAACCUAUCCCCAGAGAUUCCAGUCAACAUAAUUCAAGUUGACCAGUGGAUUCUAAGUGUGACAGUACGGUGUUUAGCAAGUCCAAGUGAAACCAGAUGGAGGUCAGAGAAUAUGCCUGGCUUCGUCCACAUUAUCUAGUUAUCUGCCUCAACCCUCUAGUUUCAACCAGCUUCAAGUGAAUGUUAAACCAGACUGCUGUAAUCUACACAUGCUUUCACACUUCAAAAGGUGUGUGUUAGUUGAUAUUUGGUUUAGUCAUUUCGUCUCUUGAGAGGAGGGGUUGAAGUUUUUAUUUCCAGUAGUAUUUUAUUUUAUUUUAUUGGAUGAAGUUGUUUUUAUUUCUUUUCUCCAGAAGAGGUAAGGAAGGUUCCUGGAUUAUUGUAUUUGGUUGGUAAACUCUCCUCUUUUUCUCUUUCUGUGUCUGCAUCUCCUCCUUUUUCUCUUUCCCUAUUUCUUCUUCCUCUUCCUUAGGUUUAUAUGAAAUAGAAACAAUUUUCUAGCACAAUGACUAAGUGAAUUGCUACAUUAAAGACUGGCUGGCCAAGAAAUGGUUAAUCUUUGUAUGGCAGGCUUUAGGGACCAACAUCAAAUACAAACAUGUUGGAAAUCUUUUUGUCAUUCCAGCUCAAUUGAUUCAGAAAAAUUUUAAGAGCAAUAGUCAGUGCUUGGAGGAAAAAAGAAUACUAUUGUAAAUUUGAGACGUUCUCAUCUUGAACAUGGCUCUUGUAAAUCACAAGCUUGACAACCUUACAGAGUACAUACAAGCCGUGGUUGACUUCAGAAAUAUGUGUUUUAGACACAGUUUUACAUGAAAGUCAUGAUAUUGUAAAUAUAAUGAUUUAUUAAUAAGUUUAACUUUUGUUAGGAUACUUUGCGCAUAACUACCGCAAUGCAUUAAGAAGGAAGUGUUAAGAAUUUUCAUCCCACAGAUCUGAUGAUUUAAAGUAGUGUUCCAUUUGUGCAGUCAAUAGAAGGAGGUGCAACAAUGAAACAGAAACAAGGCAAAAUCUAUCCAUAUGGGCUCAUCUUAUGACCUGUUCUUGCUGGUAAUUUUGGCGUAUUUUGUGAUGAUUUUUUUUUCCUCUCUUUUUGAAGGCUCAGUAGCUGUACUACUCACUCUACCAGGCCAAAGAGUCAGCGUGAUGGAGAGAAGAUUAGGAAAUCAUGUUUUAAAAUUCUUCUAAUGCAGAUGAAUAUGUCAACAUGAUUUUUCUUUCAUCAGGAGCCUUUUCAGUCACCUGUGGUCCGAAAACAUUAAAUGGAAAUCCGGAAGUAAAUAAUUCAUCAGUUUUAAAUUGUGCACCGUCCUGAGUAGUGUGAUGGAAUCUCGCACCAUCCCUUGUGCCCUGUAAAAUGAAGGUGUAUUCCAGAGAACAAAGGAAGGAUGGAGCUUUUAUAGAGCAUCUUUCUGCCCAGGUUUGCAUUCAGGUAUAUUUUUUCAAAUGAAGGAGUCCACCUUGCUUAGUUCAGGUUGCUCAGUGCAAGUGAUUUCUGAUUGGUUGGUGCAGGCUAUACAGUCUGUUGGUUCAGGUGGCCUGAACAGGAAUGGUAAGCUGCGAAGGUUCGGAGUUAAACAGAUGUGUAGGUUUUCUGGAAACUUGGGGUACAUGUGUGACCAUUAGACUCAGUUAGCCCCUCAGGAUUCAUCUUGAGGGAUUUGCUCUUUGAGGUUCACAGUGAUCAGAUCAACUGUUGCAGUAUCUCAGUGCUUGUGUUCAAGUAACCCUUAUUUUAAUUAAUAAUGACCACAAAGUAUAGGAGUAGUGUUGUUGGCAAUUAGGAUGUGCCAGAGAGAAGAUAGAAAGUGCUUCCUUUAAAUGAAAAGGUGAACGUUCUUGACUUAAGAAGGAAAGAGAAAAAUAUGCUGAGGUUGCUAAGAUUAAGAACAAAUCUAUCCAUGAAAUUGUGAAACAGGACAAGUAAAUUUAUGCUGGUCUUGCUGUUGCACCUCAAACUGCAAAAGUUAUGGCCACAAUGUGUAUUAAGUGCUUAGUUAAGGUGGAAAGGUAAAUUUGUGAGUGGAAGAUACGAACCAAAAAGAUGUUCCAAUUGACAGCAAUGUGUUGUGCCAGAAUCAUUCAGCCUAUAUGACGACUUGAGCAAGGGAUCCCUUGAAAUGAGUUACACCAAGUGAGGGAUAGUUACACAGAUUCAAGAAUACAGAUAAUCAGUAGUAGCCUAAUGCUGCGUCACAAUGCAUACGUCUUUCACCCUACUUCAUCUCAUUACAUAGGCAUUGUACCAUGUCACAUCAUUACAAGAAGAAAGGUGAGUAUAGUACAGUGAAAUAUUUUGAGACAGCCCAUGUUCACAUAACUAUUAUUACAGUAUGUUAUAAUUCUAUUUUAUUACUAGUUAUUGUUAAUAUUUUAUUUUAUGAUUUAUAAAUUAAACUGUAUCAUAGGUAAAUAUGAAUAGGAAAAAACAGUAUAUAUAGGGUUCAGUACUAUCUGGUUUCAGGCAUUGACUGGGGCCUUUGAAUGUAUCUCUUGCAGAUAAGGAGGACUCUUGUACAUCAUGACAUGUGUGGAUCCAAAAUCUCAAAAAAACAAAAAACAAACAAAAAAAAACCAAAAUCUCUUUUUGUGUGUGUACAUGAAUUGUUCCAGCACCAUUUGUUGAAAAGGCUUCCCUUCCUUCACUGAAUUGCCUAUUCACUUUCUUGGAAAUCACUUGUCCAUGUAUGUGUGGAUCUAUUUUUGGACUCUGUUUUGUUCCGUUGAUACAUUUGUGUCUCUUUGCAACCACUCUAUUUUGAUUGCUGUCACUUCAUCAUAAUUCCUGAAGUCAGGUAUCAUUAGCCUCCCAACUUUGUUUUCCUUUUUAGAAACAGCUUGUUAGUUUCUACCAAAAGAUAUCCUGAGAUUUUGACUGGGAUUGCAUUGGAUCUUGUAAAUCAAUUUGGGUAGAAUAGACAUCUUAACAACAUCGAGUCAUUUCUGAGUCUCUCACAUGUAAAACCAUUAUCUGCGUUUAAAAUGUAAACCACUCAGUGUCACCGAUCAUAAACCAAAAGUGAUACUUAGGGUACCUUGAAAUUACAUUAAGCAGAACACUGGGAAUUGGUCUUUUUGCUUGAUUUGCCUGAGUGAUUCUCCACAAAAUCCCCACUUAAUAUGAUAGGUAUGAAUACGGGAUGCCUUAUCCAGAGCAGCUCUCCACAAGCAUCCUCACGCCACAGAUGCCAGUUGACCGUUACGUGUACUCACCUAGCCUGCUGGUACCUGCCAGAUGGUGGGCAUUUUGGGUGAGAUUAUGAUAGAUUUAAGCCAGAGGUUCAGGAAUAUCCACAUUCUCCAAAAAAGAAGAUUAAGCCAUUAUUAUUGGGAGCAGCCUAAUUCUAGUUAUGAAGGAAAGAGAUCAGGGUGCCAUAUGUACUUAGAUAGCCAUGUCUUUUAUAGCACAUAGCCUUUCAUGUUAAAGCUCCGCAUUUUUCUAAAGGAGUAUUGAUUAUAGUAAGGAAGCCAAGGUUCAACUCGUGUAUGUGUCAGGUAGCUGGAUCAUUCAUUACCACCAUAGGUGACACCCAUGUUGAUCAGUUACAUAAAGACCACAAAUGGAAUGGUAACUGGGUCAUUGCAAAUUAACCCUUUCUGAAAGACAGUUCAGGACAUAUUUAUCCUUGAGAGUGAGCCUACACUAUCCUCCUAAGACCUCUCUUUUAAGUGGAGAAUAUACAUUUUGGAAACAAGGUUGUAUUGUGGUUGAGGGCAUGAAGUCAACCUGCCUGAGUUCAAAUCACCACUCUGCCCUUUUCUAACUUUUCAAAUUUAGGGAUUCACUUAGUUUCUCUAAGCCUAUUUUCUUUGAGAAUAUGGAAAAUUAUUAUAGUAACAUGGGGAAAUUAAAAGUGAGUAAUUGUACAAGUUUAGUGCACUUGAUAUGUUUUGUUUUUAGCAUAUUUUCUCCAUUUUUCCUUUUUCCUUUUGUGUGUUCUUGUUGCCAGUGACUACCUGUGAAAUGUAAACUGUUGAGUGAACUGCUUUUGCUUUACUUUCUGUGAAUUACUUGUUCUACUCACUGUGUUCUGUCUCUUCCAUUCCCUCCGAACACUUUUGAUCUUUUCGUUUUGCCCCAGUCUUCUUUCAUUUAAAAACUAAUUUCUCCCAAGAAGCCUGCUCUAUAAAGGAUGUGUAGAUUAGAUGAGGUGUGGGAAGCAUGUUUACUUAUAAAGCAACACAAUACCCUAUCCAUAUCCAGCCUGUAAAAAUAAAAAUCUAAGUGCUUUUUUUUUUUUUCCCUCCCAAGUAAAGAGAAAAGUUUCAGGGUUAUAUCCUUAACAUGUAAUUAAGAGAGUUCAAGAUAUUUUAUGUUCUAUAUAGCAAUGCAGAGAAUAUUUAAUAAGCAUUAACAAAAAAACUUAACCUUGUGGUAGAUAGCAUUGUACUAAUUAACAGUUUAUUUUAUUUAGCUACAAGAACUAUGUCAGCAUGAGAGCUAACACUACUUAUGUUUGACAAUUUUAGAAUAGGAAUAAGGUAAAAAUACUCAACAGAGAUAAUGGUAGCUUGCAAACCGUUUAUGUCAAAUAUAUUAAAAUUUGGAAUAGUUGAAGACUAGAAUCCAAAUUCAAGAGUAAUUAACCAAAAUAGUUGACAGAUGUCAGCCAUGCUAAUAAAAUUUGUAUACCCUGAAUAUUUUCCAGCUUGUAAUUAACUGCACAGAUGAUGUGAUCUGAUUUUGUCACUAACUGCUUAUUAAUGAAGGAGAUGAUGACUAGUUACAAAAUCCAUAGUGCUAGCUGAAUUCCAAGUUUAAAUGUUUCUCAUACAGCCGGCAUUAAUUGGAGCCACACUAGCCUCCAUGCUGGUUUGAUUUGUGCUUACUUUCUUCAUUUGUAAUUGCGAAGGGGAAACUGAAUUUGUUAAAUUCAGCUCUGAGUGACCUUGAAGAUAGUAAAUCUGUUUUUAUUUGGUGGUCAGCAGCGUAAUGGCUUUUAUUUUUAGAUUCUUUCUUAUAAAUGUAUUGUCAUCAGGCUAGUGAUAUCACCAUUGGAAGUUGUAUAAUAAAGUGCAAACUGAUUAUUUCAAGUUCAGCUAAACCACAGCAGAACAUGAUGUCAAUAUGACUGAAGAUGUGAACACAGAGUGCUAUUAACAAAUGGUUUAAUAACAAAAGAGCAUUAUUUAUUUCUAUCAUAUACAUAGCACGGAAGCCUGAGAAGAAGCAAAAGGAUUCAAGAGAGGCGGUUGUGCAGCCUUCCUGCCUGCGCCAGCUCUCUCCCAGACUCCUAUACUGCUCUUCCUUCUUUACCUUACGUUGCUGUUUCCCUUUUUACUUCUUUCCCUGGAAAGGGCGGGUUUAAUUCUGUCCUUAUUUAUAAGACAGAGAUGUUUGCUACCUCCUGAGCCCAAGUCUGCCAGCUGUUGGCCUUCUUCUUUGGGUGGUCUCCCUGGCAGUGUGGUCUUACAGUAUUUAUGUCUGCCUGCUAGCUGGUUUUGCCUGUUGGACAUCUCCACUUGGAUGUCUACCAGACAUCCCCAACUUCCAUGUUCUUAGUGUCACUUUAAUUUUCCUUUCCCCAAAUUAUUUUCUCUACCGUAGUCUCUUCUUUCUUAUUUUUGUAUUUCUGUGUUUAGGAGUGCUUAAUGAAUAUUUAUUGAGUCAAUGGGUGAUUUCAUGAUACAAUUAUAGUAGCAGGUAGUACUAAAAAGAGGAACUAUUUUCUCCUUAUUUAAGAACUUUUUAUAAGAGAACUCUAGUUUUUCAAAAUUCUGUUUAAAAUGGGCCACCCAGAACUGGACACACUCUUCUGUUGUUCGUUAGUGUUCGCCUUAGAUGGCCCCACCUCUCUGUCCCCUCUCUCUAGCUAUGUAUAUUUCUUUUCAACAGUCAGUUGUUAGAUUGCUGUCCUUGAUUGGUUUUCUGUUUUCAGUAGGCCAGUCCCCAGCUAAAUUGGGUGACCAACUUGGCUAAUGUCCAGUUUUAUCUAAAGUGAUGUUCCCUGUUUGCACAGAUGACUUUUUAAAAUCUCCUGCAAAUGUGAUCCCCUUUAGAGCCCUACCUGCAUGGUUUGAAUAGCCUCAGUAGCCAAUUUCACAAACAAAAAUGUAAGGUCUAUGUGAUGUAGAGUAAUAAGAUAAGAAACUAUUUCCUACUUACAAACUACUUUGAAAAAUUUUGAAAGAUGAGUUUAAAAUGUUUAAAACAUUGGUAAUACCAGCAGAGUCAGUAGGCAUAUUUGUAGGAUACUUAGUAUAAAUUUUGGUGUAUUUAUUUUCUUAAAAUAAAUCACAGUGAAAUCAUAUUAUUGUAUCUUAUAAAAUGCCUUACUCUGUUGAAAAGGCAGAUUUAUAUUAAAAACCUACUAGCUGCAUUUAUAUUAAAAUUGUUCACCUUAUUAACAGGUCAAACAAUAUAUUCUUUUAAGAAUUCACAUUUUAACACUUGGGUUUCAGCUGAUAAAACUUAUAUGCAUUUGGGUAUAAUCUUAGAUACCUACAAAACAGCACCAAGACAAAAAUGGGCUCAAUAAUAAUGAGAGAGCAAGUAUUUUAAAGAAAACAGAAUUUACUGACUUUUACCAUGGUUAGGUUAAGUUAGGUUAAACUGUGGAAGGAAAUUGUGCUGUCUCUCCCCUAAAAAGUUUAAGAGCAAAUUAUCAUCUUGAAUGGUUUAGUUAUUCACAUGACUGAAGUUAGGAACCAUUCCUUUUAACUUUUUAUUUUGAAAUAAUUAUAGAUGUGUAAGGACUUGCAAAGAUAGUACAGAGAGCUCUUUGUGCUCCUCACCUGGUUGCUCCUAAUGGAUAUUGCUUAUAUAAUUUAGUACACAUCAAAAUCAGAAAACUGACAUUGGUACAAUGUAUAUGUGUGGUUCUAUGUCAUUUUAUGAACCUUCCUUGAACUCUUCUUACCCCACACUGUUUAUAACUGUCUUACAUAUUUCUUCUACACACAUUAAGAAUCACAUUAGACAAUAUUAUUUUUGUUUCAGCCAUCAAACAUAAUUUAGAAAACUCAAGAGAAGACAGUCUAUUGUGUUUACCCAUAUUUUUGCUUAUGUUUUUUCUUCCUUCCUUUCCUUCCUGAUGUUCUAAUAUUCUCUUAUCACUUUUGUUUUUUUCAACUUUCUUUACAUAUUCUUGAGGGUCGGUCUACUGGAGACAAAUUCUCUUUAUUAUUUCAACUGAGAAUGUCUUAAUUUUUAUCUUCAUUUGCCAAGGAUAAUUUUGCUGGAUAUAGAAUUUGCAGUUGACAGCUCUUUUCUUUCAGCCCUUGAAAAAUGUUCUAUUGCUCCCUUCUGGUCCUCUUUAGUUUCUAAUGAGAAAUUCUGUCAUUUGAGUUGGUUUCCCUGUUAGGUAAGAUCUCAUUUCUUUCUCAAGACAUGCUAAUAAUCAUAAGAUUGGUUAUUGUAAUUCAAGCAGCUACUAUGUGCUUGGCAUGGUGUAUGCUGUCUGUAACCUUGAAACCCUCUAUUAUCUCUAUUUUGUGGAUAAAGAAUCUGAAACUCAUGCAAGUACAUUAACUUAGCUAAGGUCACACAAUUUAGAAAUGUUUGAGUUAAGGUAUGAACCAAGGCUUGUGUGCAUCUAAAAUUUUUGCACUUUAUCAUACAAUUGCGGAAAGUUGGAGACAAUCUUAUAGUUGAUAAGUUUUCUACCAGCAUCUUACAGCAAAAAUUACAAUUUUUCUGCCAGUCCUUUCUUUGACUUUGAGUAGAAUCUUAAAAAGACACUGUGUAAGAGCCACGAAACUUCCUUGCAGAAGCUGUAUCAUGCUAAAUGUUUUGGAUCAAUUCAACUCAAUUUAAUAAGUCUCUGCUUUUAAUUUCAUUUUCUCACCGUGCAUUAUAAAAUAGCAUUUGUAGAAUAAGUUAAUAAUAAUUUUAAGCAAUACCUAUUUUCAAACAAGACAAAAUUAUUAUUCUAUUUGAAUUCAAUCCCUAACAAAUAACUAGUAUCAAAUCAGUGGUACUGCAAAGAAUAGUUAAUAUCCAGGGUAUUGUUUUAGCUGCAAGUGUUUGUGGAUUACUGAACAGUCAAGUGGGUUUGCUUUGAGAUUAUUGCUUUCCCAUGUGUUUAUUCUCUUCACAGUCUUUUUCAGUUGUUGCCUGGUUCAUCUUUUUAGACAUCAUGUAAUUGGUAGAACAACAGUCAAGAAAAAGGUUGAAAAAAAAUACAGAUGAGUUCUCUGGAGAUACGAUGAAGCAAUCUGAGUGAAUCAUGAUGUGCAGUGGGCUUUAGGUUUCUAUUUUUGUGCAAGGGACCGAUUAUAGAGCUCUGAACUUGAAAUCUUAUUAAAAUCUCUGAAGAUGCAGUAGAAUACAUCUCAUUUAAGAAGUGUUCUCUAAGAGAUUUAUAAUUCAGUAUUGUUUAUAUAUGUCUUAGUAUAUUAGAUAUUAUUCAUUAACCUAUAUUAGAGGAGACAAUAUUUUACUUAAUAUUUUCUUAAGUUACAAAAGUAAAAUAACUUAAUAGUAACAAUUGGAAUGAUUAACAUAUUGUGAAGCGAAACUUAUCUUUACCCUAGCUGAUUGUGUACCAUCUCUUCUCAAAUAAUGUGAUAUUAAUCUCCAACUGAUGUUAACAUUGUAGGGUGUAUCUCUUCAUACUCUUCCCCAUGCUCAAACAAGUACACACACACACUCACUUACUCUUCACAUGUGUUGGACUUCAAUAAUAAUAAAUGUAUGCUUCAUAAAUUGGACCAUUCGCUAAGUUGCCCCCCACCCCAUUCUUCUAGGACAGUAUGUAUAGAACAGAAUCACUUAAAAUUAACUGGAGUGUAUUCUAUAGUAUGAAUGUACUAAUUAAUUCAGUUAUUGCAUAUUGAUGUACAUUUGGGUGGCUUCCUGUGAGGUAUUGUUUUUUGUUUCUGUUAUAAACAAUGAGACGGUAAAUAUCUUAGCUUAUAUAUCUUUUUUUUUUUUUUUUUUUUUUGAGAUAGAGUUUCACUCUCGUUGCCCAGGCUGGAGUGCAAUGGCAUGAUCUCGGCUCACCGCAACCUCUGCCUCCCGGGUUCAAGUGAUUCUCCUGCCUCAGCCUCUCGAGUAGCUGGGAUUAUAAGCAUGCGCCACCAUGCCUGGCUAAUUUCGUAUUUUUAGUAGAGACAGGGUUUCUCCAUGUUAGUCAGGCUGGUCUCGAAUUCCCGAGCUCAGGUGAUCCACCCACCUCAGCCUCCCACAGUGCUGGGAUUGCAGGUGUGAGCCACUGCACCCGGCCUAUAUAUCUUUAUUCUUACACAACAAUGCUUUGAUUUCCAGAGGGUAGGUUUCUGAUAAUGGGACUGACAGUUCAAGGGAUAUGUAUACUUAACAUUGUAUAGAUAUUAGUAGAUUUCUUUCCUAAAUGUUUACUGCAGUCUUGUAUAAGGUUCAUUUUAUCACAUCUUUAACAGCACUAGGUGUUAUCACUCUUUAAGCAAAUGUGAUCGGUGAAAACUGCUAUCUCGUUGCUUUAAGUUGCAUUUGCUGAAUAUUGGUGAAGUUGAACGGCUUAUGUUUAUUGGCCAUUUCAGUUUUGUCUUGUGUGAAUUUCUGCUCAUAUUAUCUGGCCAUUUUUCUAUUGAGUUGCCUUUUACUUACCAGUUUCUGGGAGUAGUUUUUAUAUUAGGGAUAUUAACUGUUUGGUUAUUUAUUUUGGAAGUUUUCCCAGUCUAUGUAUUUUUGAAGUGGUUUAGGGUAUUUUUUUUUGCUCUAGAAUAAAUUAAAAUAUAUGUAAUCACAUUGAUCUAUCUUUGUUUAGGUUUUCCAUCUUAGUUCUACAAAUAUUUGCCUAAAUUCUCUUAUGAAUGUUACUGUCUUAUUUUUUAUAUAAAUAUCUUUUAAUUCAUCUGGAUUUUACUUCUAUAUAUGGUGAGAUAUGUGAGUCAAGCUUUGCAUUUUUGUAGAUAUCUAGCCACUUAUUAUGCUAAUGCCAUUUAGUAAAUAAACCACCCUUUCUUUCUGAA